GAUGAACGCUGGCGGCGUGCCUAAUACAUGCAAGUCGAGCGAACGGACGAGAAGCUUGCUUUUCUGAUGUUAGCGGCGGACGGGUGAGUAACACGUGGAUCACCUACCUAUAAGACUGGGAUCACUUCGGGAAACCGGAUCUUAUCCCGUAUAAUCUUUUGAACCGCAUGGUUCAAUAGUGAAAGACGGUCUUGCUGUCACUUAUAGCUGGAUCCGCGCUGCAUUAGCUAGUUGUUAAGGUAACGGCUUACCACGGCAACGAUGCAUAGCCGACCUGAGAGGGGGAUCGGCGACACGGGAGCGGAGACACGGACAAGACUCCUACGGGAGGCAGCAGUAGGGAACCUUACGCAGUGGGGGAAAGCCUGACGGAGCAACGCCGCGUGAGUGAUGAAGAUCCUCGGAUCGUAAAACUCUGUUAUUAGUGAAGAACAUAUGUGUAAGUAACUGUGCACAGCGUGACGGUACCGAAUCAGAAAGCCACGGCUAACUACGUG
rnacentral:rRNA from 1 species